GGCUAGGGAGGUGUCCCCUUCCUCCCUCAUAGCUCCAUGUGUGUCCCUUCUGAAGCUGCGUGCUUGGUCGCUCGGUUGAAAAGGACGACCACCCCCGAUAGAGGAGGACCGUUUCCUCAGUCAAGGGUAUACGAGUAGCUGCGCUCCCCUGCUAGAACCUCCAAACGAGCUCUCAAGGCAAAUAAUAUCACUCUCAUAUAUAAAUUAGAAAACUGAAGACUCAGAAGCUCAAGGUCAUGUUACAAGUACACAGUAGAGUGCAGAUUU
rnacentral:sRNA from 1 species